GACGAACGAUGGCGGCGUGCUUAACGCAUGCCAGUCGAACGGAAAGGCCCUGCUUUUGUGGGGUGCUCGAGUGGCGAACGGGUGAGUAACACGUGAGUAACCUGCCCUUGACUUUGGGAUAACUUCAGGAAACUGGGGCUAAUACCGGAUAGGAGCUCCUGCUGCAUGGUGGGGGUUGGAAAGUUUCGGCGGUUGGGGAUGGACUCGCGGCUUAUCAGCUUGUUGGUGGGGUAGUGGCUUACCAAGGCUUUGACGGGUAGCCGGCCUGAGAGGGUGACCGGCCACAUUGGGACUGAGAUACGGCCCAGACUCCUACGGGAGGCAGCAGUGGGGAAUAUUGCACAAUGGGCGGAAGCCUGAUGCAGCAACGCCGCGUGCGGGAUGACGGCCUUCGGGUUGUAAACCGCUUUCGCCUGUGACGAAGCGUGAGUGACGGUAAUGGGUAAAGAAGCACCGGCUAACUACGUG
rnacentral:rRNA from 1 species